GGGGGUGAUAUGGCUUCGACGUGGGUCGCGAAACUCCGAGUGCAUGCCGAGGGACAGAUUACCUCGUAAAACCAGCUGUAAAAACCAUAGUUGCCAACGACGACAACUACGCACUAGCUGCUUAAAAACCAGUUUAGUGCCCUCUGACCAAACGUGCCUGUGCGUC
rnacentral:tmRNA from 1 species